ACACACGCACACACACCCAGCUGACUCCUCUCCUUUCAAAUUUCAAAAUUCAAACACACACCCUUGGCUCAACGAAGACGUUCCAUUGCAAAUACCAUCUCUCUCUCUCUACGCCGACCCACCAAUCUCACUGCUCUCUCACCACACCCACCCACCAAGCUCGAUCGAGUUGUGUUACGGCUCGAAUGGCGGCGAUUGGGUUCCUUCCCGGACUGUCCACAACCGAGUCGAAUCAACUCGCAAUUGAAGGGCAACUUUCGUCUUGGUUCGAAAAUCACAGCUGAUACAAAUGGCAUACAUCCAAUCAGUGCAAGGAAGAUUAUUAUAGACUAAACAAAAAGGAGAUGGGUUGUCUGAUGCUUCAUCAGUGUGAAGCUUCAUCCAGAGUGAUACUUCUUUUUCAUAAUCCAUGCCUUCCUUUUAUGGUGUCAUUCAGCCUAUGUGUGGUGAAUGUCAAUAAUUAUCAAUAUUUAGGUUCUUGAGAUGUUUUGUAUGUUUUUAUAGGUUAUACUGCCUUUGCUAUAUUUAGAAGCAGGGAAAAAAGAUUCUACGUGUUGCUAUGUUUAGGUUCUUGAGUUGUUAUAUACAGAUGUGUGUGAUUUUUUGUUGUUGUACCUCUUUACUUAUAUUCUAUCCCAGGAAAAACAAACAUUCAAAUUGAUUUUUUCAAAUGGUUUGCGCUUUUCUGGCUUCUCCGGCCAAAUGGUGAUCUCAGAAGUUCAAGUGCUUCUUUUGCGCACUUCAAUUGGUGUUGGAUAGGGAAACGUAAUGCUGUGAUUCAUAGUGAUAAGGCUCCAACUAGGCCAUGCCUUUGUUUUCCGUAAAAUACGUUCCGAGCAUUUGUAAAAUUGUAGCGUAUUCGAUGUUUAAGUUGUGUUCAAAGUAUAUAAGGAAAACAAAGAAGCAGCCUUGGCUAGGCUACGAAGGAGUAAAUAAAAGGGUCAUUAACGAAACGCAUCCAAAGUCCUCUUGGACUUGAUUGGUUUUUGAUGAUGGUACUUUUGUAGUUAUUAAUGGUACUUUUGUAGUUAUUAGGAAAUGGGAAAGUGCAAAUGGUACUCAAGAGCAGGAAUUUUUUUUUAGGGCUAUAAGACUUUUGCAAGUAGUUAUAUGUGAAGAGAUCCGUGUUUAGCACUUUUAGUAAAAAUUGGAAAAUGCCCUCAAGUUACAAAAUUGUUGGAGGUAGUUAUUUGCUUCAUUAAGCCCAACUCAACAUACUUCUUUAUCUUUUCUGGAGGAGUAAAAGAAAUUGGUACCAAUUUCUUUCCAAAAGGUGGAUAAAUGAUUUAAAUGGUGUAACUGGUAGAUAAGCAAAUUGAGGAUGUGCUGAACGCAAAAAUCUACUCCACGGUCAAGUUUUGCUGGAGCCUACGCCUCUUAUAUGAGAGGGAACUUUUUGUUUGAGCAAGAUCAAAAUAGGGACGUGGCAUUAAAGAGUUUCAAGAAUGCCAGGUACUUCCCAAUCCCUAUCAUCUUACAUUUGCUGCUUUAUAAUGCGAAAUGAGGCGACUGUGUAUAAGUUAUUUGAAAAGGACAAUGGGAACGAAAACUAGAAAUCAGGUUAAACAUUUUCUCUUUUAAUUUACUGGCAUAUCCUUUUGCAUGUUUUGGGGGCUUCACCAAAAUCUUUCUUCCACUUCUCAAUUGGUCUUUUAGAUUGCUGUUUAAUUGGAAAAUCUAUCGAACUGAAUUUUUCAUAGAUAUAUGUCCAAAAUUCUAUUCUGGUACCACAACAUUAGGCCAUACUUAAAUAGAAGUAAUGCUCUGCUUCCGUUGUUGGUUUUGUUACGAUUCUUUUCACAUGUUUUGUGUCAAUUUUUUCACAUGUUUUGUCCGUUUCAUGCUUAUUUUGAAAUGAUUGGUUAGAGUUGGGAGAAGAACUGGACUUUGGGGACGAAGACAACACUCCAUUUUGCUUUGCUACGUUUUUUGGUUUAAGCUCAAUGCAUUCUGGACACUUUUUCUAGGGAAUAUUGUUGGGUUUGUAGCGUUCUACAUUUCGAUGUCUUGCUUUUCAGUUCCAUUUCUUUCUUCUCUUCUUUUCCAUAUGGUUUCUUUUUAAGACUUGUGCCUGUGUGGGGGUUGAAGCCAUACAAGAGAAUCUAGCUAAGAUGAAGCAGUUUGUGUUGAGCACGAUCAGCCAAUUACCUCAACAAGCAGCUGAAGUGGUGGAAAUGACUGAAUUGGAUAGCAUCUCCUGUGCUCCUUUGACACUAAGAUUGCCCUGGAAUCAAUCCGUUUUGUGAAUGGCAUUUUUAGGUAGACUAAUAUGAAUUCAAGUAGAAUUUCAAUACUGUUGCACUCCUCAUAUUUCAGACCUUUGAAGUUGAACCAUUUUCAGAAUUUCAAUACA